GACGUAGGGCGCGAGCGUUGUCCGGAUUUAUUGGGCGUAAAGAGCUCGUAGGCGGCUUGUCGCGUCGACUGUGAAAACCCGCGGCUCAACUGUGGGCUUGCAGUCGAUACGGGCAGGCUAGAGUCCGGUAGGGGACCACGGAAUUCCUGGUGUAGCGGUGAAAUGCGCAGAUAUCAGGAGGAACACCGGUGGCGAAGGCGGUGGUCUGGGCCGGCACUGACGCUGAGGAGCGAAAGCGUGGGUAGCAAACAGG
rnacentral:rRNA from 1 species